rnacentral:SRP_RNA from 1 species
UGCGUCAGGGCCGGAAGGAAACAGUUAUAAUGGUGGUGGGCUGUGUUGCUA